rnacentral:rRNA from 1 species
CCUACGGGGUGCAGCAGUGAGGAAUAUUGGUCAAUGGACGAGAGUCUGAACCAGCCAAGUAGCGUGAAGGAUGACUGCCCUAUGGGUUGUAAACUUCUUUUAUAUGGGAAUAAAAUGUUCCACGUGUGGGAUUUUGUAUGUACCAUAUGAAUAAGGAUCGGCUAACUCCGUGCCAGCAGCCGCGGUAAUACGGAGGAUCCGAGCGUUAUCCGGAUUUAUUGGGUUUAAAGGGAGCGUAGGUGGAUUGUUAAGUCAGUUGUGAAAGUUUGCGGCUCAACCGUAAAAUUGCAGUUGAAACUGGCAGUCUUGAGUACAGUAGAGGUGGGCGGAAUUCGUGGUGUAGCGGUGAAAUGCUUAGAUAUCACGAAGAACUCCGAUUGCGAAGGCAGUUCACUGGACUGCAACUGACACUGAGGCUCGAAAGUGAGGGUAUCAAACAGGAUUAGAUACCCUAGUAGUC